AAAAGAAAGACAAAGAAAAAAAGUCAAAGAAGAAAGUAUCACAAUCAUGGAAGCAAAGAAAUAAAGAAAAAGAAUUCGAAGAAACAGAAAUACACUUUUUGCUGAAACAGAAAAACAGAAGAGAAAAUAAUCAAUUGCAUGACAUGAAAUUUUAAACAUACUAUAUGAUAAGAAAAAACAUAUAAAAUACAGAUUUGUAAAUCAUAAAUAUAUUAAAAGCAAUUACUCUGUUAAAAAUUCACCAACCAAAAAAAUCAUCAACUAACCAAACGCUGUCACGACCGGGAAUCUUUAAAUUAUUAUUUCAGAACCGGUUUUUCAAUUAAUUUACAGUUUAAAUUUAUUUUUAAUAGUUUUUAAUUAAGUUAAUAGCCCUCUUUAAAAUACACUAUUGGACCCCACAAAAAAAAUACAUCCUUGGAAGUGGUCUUAGUUUUAUCAUCUAAAAGAUAUGAAUUUGAUUUUGUAAAGGUUACAAUUAUUUCCAAGAAAUGUAUCAUAGACAAGUUGGAGGAAGAAGACGAAACGAAUCAGGUAAAUUGAAAUUAAGAAAGCUAUUAAGGUAAAAUUAAAAAAUGGGUAGAUUAGAAGUAGUUGUCUUUUCAUAAAACCCAAUAGUACUUGAAAUUGUUAGUAUAAGAAAUAUUCCAAGCUAUAACAUUAUUAUUAUAAGAGACCCUUAUUAAUAAUUUGGUAGCACGAUGACUCCAAAAGGAGUUUAUUGUUUAAAGAAAGACGAAAACAUGGAGAGUUGUUGACGCAGAGAGUUACUUAGAUGCUUCACCCAAGAAGAGUCCUCAUAAUCAUAAAAUCAAAGCAUCUCUCUUCUUCCUAAACGUCGACGAUCGAGAGGAGAGUUCUUGGCGCCAUCAAGAUUCAAAAGAUGGAGGAGAUUGUUUUUGAAACAAAAGAUGCACUUGAUUGGUCAUAUAGAAGCGAAGGAGUUGUGAAUUUGGUUCUCGCUUACUCUGGAUCCUCUCCCACUUUCGUUAGUCUCAUCUCUUUUUCUUAUUUUUAGAUAUUAAAUCUUUGCUUUUGUUGAAUUGUUUCAUUUUCGGUAGGUACAUUUCAUUGAUCUUGAUAUGAGACCUUUGGAGAGAAUGGAAGCCUAUUACGAAUCAGACAAGAAGAUCAUGAAAACGUACCUGGAGAUGCUGAAGAAGAAAGGGGAUCGAUCAACCUAGAUUCUUCUAGAACUAUGCAACCUCUAACAGUUUCCUACAAUUUUCACUUGUAUCAAUUCAUAAGAUUCCCUUUACUUGAUAUGUUUCCUAGACUAAAAUAAAUAUAAAUGUUAAUUAUUUAUGUACAGUUAAAUGUAAAGUUCUCAGUAUCCCUCACUUAAGAAUCUAGUUGUUGCAUUAGAUUAAUACAUGGGAUGUGGCUGCAAAGGGGUAUACAGUAGAAAACCAAGUUUCAAAGUUAGCCUGAUGGUUAAAUAUCACUUGAAAAUCAGGGAUGUGGAGGAUGGGAAACAUCAGAGAAGGGCUGGUGCAAGUUUCUAAAGUUGAUACAGUGAGCAAUUUCCAAAAUGUAUCGGAGAUGCUCAAGUCUACCAAGAACUGAAAAAAGUAAGCGUGAAUCCACGAACUAAAAUCUUAAACUCAAAGCCAAGGUGGACACUCAUAGAGAGUUUGUCUAUCGGUUUCAAUAUAUUUUGCUUACGUAAUAGUUUGCAUUCCAAAAGUUUCUAUAAUAACUUUGUACACCUGAAUCGAUAUAAUUCGAUUUUUAUAAUCAACAUUAAUAAAAACAAAUUUCCU